ensembl:lncRNA
AGGCUUCGGCUCGAGGUGGUGAACCUGCGCAAGUCGCUGAAGAGGCACAUGGCCAUCCACCAGACGUCGGUGAAGGCCCAGAAGGAGGGACGGGUCAUCUCUAAGGCCACUCUCCUUAAGUGCCGGACCCUGGUGGUGCAGGCCAUCCCCGAUCUAUUGACACUCCUGGAAAACGAGCCUUCGCAGAAGGUGCAGUUGCAGUUUUAGGGCCACUUCGCCGCGCUGCUGUCCUCGAUAUAUGGCCACAGAGGGGGGUCUUCCAGAACAUGACCAUCCAGGAGGUGCUGGGGACCCAGAAAUCCACCUCUCAGAAAGCCUACCUGAUUAACGUGAUCAGCCACAAGAGGAACCAGGUGUUCGACCCCGCCCAAAUCGCCAUGACAAUCCGAAUCCAUGCAAGAACCUUAAUAAUUACUUUCAGGACACGUGGAAGUCGAUGGGCCUGCCCGGCUGCCCCACAUUCACGGAUAUGCGGACCUCCAUCGCCAGCCACGCCAAGUUCACGCACUAGAGCGAAGACCGCCUGAAAAUAUCGAAGUUCAUGUGCCACGAUGUGACGGCGGUGGACAGAUUCUACGUGACAAACCUGUCCAUGCAGCAGGCAAUGGAGCACCUCAGGCUCUUCGAGACUGCCUUGGAGGGUCCAGAGAGGAGCCCACCGAGGCAGGCAAACCCUCUGAAGAGGAAGAGGUCCACGGAAAAGAUCAGGGUGUCCAAAAGCGGCCACCAACCUACCCCGAGAUGUCAUCGGGCAGCACCACGUCAGAGGAGAAGGAGGUCCAUUACCAGGAGUCCGGGACGUCCAGUCCCGAGUCCGUCAAGGGUGAAGCAGAUGUCCCAGGGCAGACUGGCCAAGGCGAGGUGGAAGGAGAGGCGGGAGAGGGAGCCGUCUGCGAGACCCCACAAAAAAAGUACCCCAGCCGAAGAGAAAGGCUGAAGGUCAUGCUGACGCCACUGAAGUCAGCACUGGGGUCCAGCGUGACCCCCAAAAACAUCUCCCCACUGAAGGUCAAGAAGACCUUCAUGGUGGCAUCCUCGACCACUCUGAUGGGGAUGUGCCAUCAGGAAAAGGCCUCUGAGAAGGUCAGGAAAGCCAUGGAGAAGCGGCGCCAACGGAAAUAGACUCGGCCCCCUAAAUGGGGUUCUGAGCGACAUUUUGUUCCGAUUUUUUGGUUUGGAGUUUGCCCCUUUAUUUUCUCUUUUUUGGGAGUUUUGCGUUCACCUUUUACGACCCAGUGUGUUUAUUUGUGUUUUAUCGUUCUGAAAAUGGUUUAAUAAAUGUUGUUGUGG